AGCUCAGUUGUUAGUAAGCGAAGCUCGUCGCAGACAGCAUCUGACUGUUAAUCAGAGGGUCCAAGGUUCGAGUCCUUGAGGGG
rnacentral:tRNA from 2 species